AUCAUUUGAUGAGUGCAGGAAUGAGAGGACAUGGGGAGGCUUCACCCUCUUCACAGGAGCUGGGAUAUGGAAGUUCACCAAUAUCAGCUGCCAUCUAAAGCAAGAGUUGGAGGCUGGAACACAUAAGGAUUCAACAAAUCAACUUCCUGAUCUUGCUGGAAGAUAUUUUUGAGCCAACAUUUAGCAUUUCU